rnacentral:rRNA from 1 species
UGGCGAACGGGUGAGUAACACGUGAGUAACCUGCCCUUAACUCUGGGAUAAGCCUUGGAAACGGGGUCUAAUACUGGAUAUUGACUUUACCUCGCAUGGGGUUUUGUUGAAAGAUUUAUUGGUUUUGGAUGGACUCGCGGCCUAUCAGCUUGUUGGUGAGGUAAUGGCUCACCAAGGCGACGACGGGUAGCCGGCCUGAGAGGGUGACCGGCCACACUGGGACUGAGACACGGCCCAGACUCCUACGGGAGGCAGCAGUGGGGAAUAUUGCACAAUGGGCGAAAGCCUGAUGCAGCGACGCCGCGUGAGGGAUGACGGCCUUCGGGUUGUAAACCUCUUUCAGUAGGGAACAAGGCCAGCAUUUUUGUUGGUUGAGGGUACUUGCAGAAGAAGCGCCGGCUAACUACGUGCCAGCAGCCGCGGUAAUACGUAGGGCGCAAGCGUUAUCCGGAAUUAUUGGGCGUAAAGAGCUCGUAGGCGGUUUGUCGCGUCUGCCGUGAAAGUCCGGGGCUCAACUCCGGAUCUGCGGUGGGUACGGGCAGACUAGAGUGAUGUAGGGGAGACUGGAAUUCCUGGUGUAGCGGUGAAAUGCGCAGAUAUCAGGAGGAACACCGAUGGCGAAGGCAGGUCUCUGGGCAUUAACUGACGCUGAGGAGCGAAAGCAUGGGGAGCGAACAGGAUUAGAUACCCUGGUAGUCCAUGCCGUAAACGUUGGGCACUAGGUGUGGGGGACAUUCCACGUUUUCCGCGCCGUAGCUAACGCAUUAAGUGCCCCGCCUGGGGAGU